UUUAUUUCAGCCCGUUAUCAUUUGAACCCAAUAAAUUAAAGUGGGUCUGAUCAACGACGGCCCACACACACACACCCUAUAAAGUAUCUAUUCGAAAUUCGAUUUCAAAUCACAACCCAUUCAAAAUUCGAAUUUCGAAUUUUAAACUCCCAACAAAUUCCCAACCAUUUUCCAAAAUACCAUCCAACAACCCAUUCGAAAUUCGAAUUUAAAUUUCGAAUUCCCAACCAAUUCCUAAAACAUCCUCCAAUAACCCAUUCGAAAUUCGAAUUUGAAUUUCGAAUUCCCAACUAAUUCCUAAAACAUCAUCCAACAACCCAUUCGAAAUUCGAAUUCGAAUUUCGAAUUCCCAACCAUUUUCCAAAAUAUCAUCCAACAACCCAUUCGAAAUUCGAAUUCGAAUUUCGAACCCCCAACCAUUUCUCAAAAUAUUAUCCAACAACCCAUUCGAAAUUCGAUUUUGAAUUUUGAAUUCCCAACUAAUUCCAAAAACAUCUUCCAACAACUCAUUCAAAAUUCGAUUUCGAAUUUCGAAUUCCCUAACCAAUUCUCAAAACAUCAUCCAACAAUCCAUUCGAAAUUCGAUUUUGAAUUCCCAACCAACUCCAAAAUAUCCUCUAAUAAUCCAUUCAAAAUUCGAAUUUCGAAUUUCAAACCUCCAACCAACUCCCAAAAUAUCUUCCAACUAUCCAACAACUGAUUCAAAAUUCAAUUCCCAACCACUCCCCAAAUAUCCUCCAAUCAUCCAACAAAUAAUUCAAAAUUUGAAUUUCGAAUUUUGAAUUCCUAACUAACUCCUCCUCUCCCAUUAUAAAUACGGGAACCGAAAUCAAAUUCUG
rnacentral:lncRNA from 1 species